rnacentral:rRNA from 1 species
UUAGCCUCGCCUGGGAGACGGUCGCAAGACUGAACUCAAAGGAUUACGGGCCCGCACAAGCGGUGGAGCAUGUGUUUAAUUCGAAGCACGCGAAGAACCUACCAGGUCUUGACAUCCUUUACAAUCCUAGAGAUAGGACGUCCCCUUCGGGGGCAGAGUGACAGGUGGUGCAUGGUUGUCGUCAGCUCGUGUCGUGAGAUGUUGGGUUAAGUCCCGCAACGAGCGCAACCCUUGAUCUUAGUUGCCAGCAUUCAGUUGGGCACUCUAAGGUGACUGCCGGUGACAAACCGGAGGAAGGUGGGGAUGACGUCAAAUCAUCAUGCCCCUUAUGACCUGGGCUACACACGUGCUACAAUGGACAGAACAAAGGGCAGCGAAACCGCGAGGUUAAGCCAAUCCCACAAAUCUGUUCUCAGUUCGGAUCGCAGUCUGCAACUCGACUGCGUGAAGCUGGAAUCGCUAGUAAUCGCGGAUCAGCAUGCCGCGGUGAAUACGUUCCCGGGCCUUGUACACACCGCCCGUCACACCACGAGAGUUUGUAACACCCGAAGUCGGUGAGGUAACCUUUUAGGAGC